UCCCUUGAAGAACACAAGGUUGAUAGGUCGGGGGUGUAAGCGUGGUAACAUGUUCAGCUGACCGAUACUAAUAGAUCGAGGGCUUGACCAAAUAU
rnacentral:rRNA from 1 species